CUACGGGGCGCUGCAGUGAGGAAUAUUGGGCAAUGGGCGAAAGCCUGACCCAGCCAUGCCGCGUGAAGGAUGACUGCCCUAUGGGUUGUAAACUUCUUUUGUAAGGGAAGAAUGAUUCCUACGUGUAGGAAUGUGACGGUACCUUAUGAAUAAGCACCGGCUAACUCCGUGCCAGCAGCCGCGGUAAUACGGAGGGUGCAAGCGUUAUCCGGAUUUAUUGGGUUUAAAGGGUGCGUAGGCGGAAUUUUAAGUCAGUGGUGAAAUCCUGCAGCUCAACUGUAGAACUGCCAUUGAUACUGAUCUUCUUGAAUUUAGUUGAGGUGGGCGGAACGUGUAAUGUAGCGGUGAUAUGCUUAGAUAUUACACAGAACACCGAUUGCGAAGGCAGCUCACUAAACUAACAUUGACGCUGAGGCACGAAAGCGUGGGUAGCGAACAGGAUUAGAUACCCCCGUAGUC
rnacentral:rRNA from 1 species